rnacentral:rRNA from 1 species
GGAAUCUUGGACAAUGGGGGCAACCCUGAUCCAGCCAUGCCGCGUGUGUGAAGAAGGCCUUCGGGUUGUAAAGCACUUUCAGUAGGGAGGAAGGCUUGAGCUUAAUACGUUCAAGUACUUGACGUUACCUACAGAAGAAGCACCGGCUAAUUUCGUGCCAGCAGCCGCGGUAAUACGAAAGGUGCGAGCGUUAAUCGGAAUUACUGGGCGUAAAGCGCGCGUAGGCGGUUUGUUAAGUUAGAUGUGAAAGCCCUGGGCUCAACCUGGGAACUGCAUUUAAAACUGGCAGGCUAGAGUGCAGUAGAGGGAGGUGGAAUUUCCGGUGUAGCGGUGAAAUGCGUAGAGAUCGGAAGGAACACCAGUGGCGAAGGCGGCCUCCUGGACUGACACUGACGCUGAGGUGCGAAAGCGUGGGGAGCA